UUGCCAAUGUGCCUUUGUACAUUGUUGCAAAUAUAAUUGCAGCCAAUAUCUUGAUUCGUUGUAUAGUUAGCGACUAGAGUUGUGUAUUGGAGUUGUAAAAAUUGGGUAUACGUCAUAUUGCUAUAUAAAAAUAAGAUAAAGUGUAUAUGAAAUAGAAGUGAUUUUUGAUGUGUAAUUGAAGUGAUUGGUCCAUUAUUAUUCAUUACUUUUAUGUAGAAACGUGACGCGUUUACCCGCGAUAAACCCUUGAACCGAUUUUACACACAUUAUUUGUAGCUCGGUAUAUAAUUAAGUAGAAUCCCGAUGUAUUAAAAGUUUAAGCAUGGCAUAUAUACUGUGGAACUUGCGAUCUCAAUAGAAUAUCGCAUUGGAAGAUACAUCGCCAGGAAUUGUCGCUACCUCGUUAGCUAGUGGACAGUCGUCGCACAAGCUUUGAAGUUGGUAUUAGAUCUUCAUAACAAAAGAAAGGCAAUAAGUAGCUUAAAGGAAUGGUUGGGAUUUAGAGUAGCACCCCGGAUUUCGGGCUUCAAUUGGCAUAUUAUUCGUUUAAAUGGAAAAGGAGAAUUUCUUUGCAGUAAAUUGAGCUUAAUUACAAAAUCAUAAACAAGUUAAGACUGAUUCAACAUCUAAUCCACGAGCUUGGGUAAAAAGCUUAAAGUGAUUUAAAAAAAAUUGAAAUAAAUGAAUAUUUGAAUACAAAUUAUGAAAUAACACAUUUGGAGAAUAGUGGAUGGAAUGCCUCGGAAUGCGCAGACUGUCCAGAAAGUUUUCUUACUGCCAUUUUAUAUAUAAGUUUGUAAUAGAUCAAUUAUAAUAGCUACAUUGGAAAGCAAUUUAAAUUAUCCCUUCACUCAAAUAUCAAAAAUAUAUCAGAAAAACAGUCAUAUUAUUUCAAAUGCUUAAUUCGACCCAUGAGCGUAAUCAACGAAAUGGGAAAGUGAUUGGUACCGUCCUAGGAACAGUAACAACUAUGUCUCACUGCAUAUUCCGCCCAAAUAAUGAUGAACCGAAUUCCGUUUCUAUGUCACAAGAUUUUGCAUGCGGAAAUGGUUUUAUACAAUUCAGAUUUUGGCGGCGUCGGAAAAGACAGGCUUUAUUACGAAUAUUUAGAUUUUAUACAUUUAGCGCUAUAUGCUGGUUUUUCUACUGCGAUACUUUAAGCGUCGAUGCCGCAUUAAAUGAAGGCGGUCGAAGAAAAUUAAACGACGCAUCGUCGAAUAUAAUCGCUACAAACGCUACUUCUAUAAAUUUACAAUUUUCAUGCAGUGAUAUAGUAGCUCAAUUUAAUUUGUCUGAAGGGGCUCUAGGCAAUAGCGAUGGAGGUUUCGAAAGUAUUACCACUUCAACAAUAACCUUAAAUUCCCUAAAUCGCUCACUACCAAACACUAUAAGUGGUUCCCAAAACAAGAAUUAUUUUACACAUUUGACAUACGAUUUUAAGCAGAAAGUAUUUUACGCGGGCGCAACCAAUAAGAUACUACAAUUAAAUGAAAAUUUACGAGUUUUAUCUCAGGCGUUAACUGGACCAAAAUAUGAUUCGCCACAAUGUCAUGCCAGUGGUUGCCCCGAAGAUGUGGAAACAACAUUAGUUGAUACUCAUAAUAAAAUACUAAUUGUUAAUUAUGUUGAAGGGUUUGGAAUUCUUAUUGCCUGCGGCAGUGUACGACAAGGAGCCUGUGAAAUGUACAAUCUUACUAACUUCCCGAAUUCUCCAACAUUUAUUGAAACACCUUUGGCGGCAAAUGAUGAGUUUGCAUCCACAUACGCAUAUGUUGGUCCAGCAAAAUAUUCAUGGAAAGAUGAAGACAUUCUUUAUGUUGGUACAACGUUUACAAAUGUUGGCGAUUAUAGGCACGACGUGCCUGCGAUUUCAUCACGCCGUUUAGACGAUUUAAACUACGUUGAAUUUUCAAUACAGCAAUCAAUUAUUAAUAUAGAUGUUAAAUAUCGAGAUCAUUUUCUUGUUAACUACGUUUAUGGAUUUAAUUCAUCAGAAUAUGCCUAUUUUGCUAUAGUGCAGAAAAAGUCUCACUUGGCUGAUGAGGCUGGGUAUGUUACUCGAUUGGCACGAAUUUGUGUUACUGAUCCGAAUUAUGACACCUAUACUGAGGUAACCAUUCAAUGCCUUGCUACUAAGAACAAUAUCGACUAUAACAUCCUACGCGACGCAAAGAUAACUCAAGCAGAACAAAAACUAGCACAAUAUUUGGGAAUAAAGCGGGACGAUUUUGUUUUAGUUGCGAUAUUUUCACCAUCUAAUGAGAUUACUGACCAAGCGGAGGCCAAUUCGGCUAUGUGCUUAUACAGUCUUAAAGAUAUUGAGGAAGUAUUUAACGAAAAUAUACAUAUGUGCUUCAAUGGUACAAUCAAAGAUCGAAAUUUAGGCUAUAUCUCAGGAACUAUCGAUGAUGGCCACUGUCCAGUAGCAGGAACUAUAGGGAAUAUUCAAGACUUUUGCACCGUGGGAUUAAAAAUCAGUGGAUCAUCACCAAUUACAGCGCAAGCCUUACUUCAUUUUGAUAACGUUAGCAUCACAUCAGUCACUACCACGACCACUGGUCCUCAUUCUUUGGCAUUUUUGGGUACUGAAACCGGUUCAAUAAAAAAAGUAUUAAUAUCUGGUAACAAUGCAGGCGAAUAUGAAGAAAUAACCGUCGACCCUGGAAACAAAAUAUUACAGGAUACAAUGAUGUCUGCUAAUAAAGAGUUUUUGUACGUUCUUUCCAAGCGUAAGAUAACUAAGUUAAGAGUUGAACACUGCUCUGUUUAUACAAAUUGCUCCUCGUGCUUGGAAUCACGUGACCCAUUUUGUGGCUGGUGUUCUUUGGAAAAACGAUGUACUGUACGAUCUACAUGUCAAAAGGACACUUCUGCUGCUCGUUGGCUCUCUUUAGGAAGUGGUCAACAAUGUAUCGAUUUCGAGUCUGUUGUUCCGGACAAAAUACCGAUAUCAGAGCGUACAGAAGUGCAGUUAAUUAUACGUACUUUGCCAGAACCACUCAAUGCUAAAUAUCGUUGCGUUUUUGGAAAUUCUACUCCCAUCGACGCUGAUGUUAUUGAAAAUGGUUUAGCUUGUAUGACUCCACUAUUAGAGGAAAGGCCUAAUAUACUUCCAAAUAUGGACCAUGUUCUUGUUCCACUAGCUGUUCGAAGUUCUGAAACAAAUAAGGACUUUGUAUCACGUUCAUUUGCAUUUUUUGAUUGUUCGCGACAUAACACCUGUCAGAACUGCGUUCGGAGUAUUUGGGGUUGUAAUUGGUGCAUUUAUGAUAAUAGGUGUGUACAUCGAAUGGAGCAAUGCAGGAAUAUAGAGAACGUAAUUAUUAAUGAAAAACUCUGCCCCCACUUAAAAUCCUUCCGCCAACCGAUAUUACUACCUGUACAAGUGCCAAAGGAAAUACGACUAGAAAUUGAAAACCUACCGAAGCCGAAAAGUGCUCAUUCAGGAUUUCUGUGCACAGUGCAAAUAGAAACAUCACAAAUGCUUUUACCAGCGCGAAUUGAAUCUAAUAAUAUUGUAGUAUGCGAAAAAACUCUGUAUUUCUACGAAACAAAUACACGUGAAUAUGAAGCCAAAGUGGAUAUUACAUGGAAUCGCCAACAUUAUGUCGAUACGGCAACGAUCAUUCUAUACAAAUGUGAUGUAUUGGGCUCACAUCGGGAGCAUGCCGAUUGUAGUUUAUGUGUUACAAGAGACCCGAAAUAUCAAUGUGCGUGGUGUGGUAAUUCUUGUGUCUACAACGAAACUUGUUCGACUGAUAUAUUAGAACAGUCAGUGGUAAUGUACGGCUCGCCAUAUUCAUUAGUUCGUGCUCAUGAUUGCCCUCGUCCCCGCAUUGACAUGAUUAAACCAUUAUCAGGACCAAUUGAAGGCGGAACCUUAAUUACUAUUGAAGGUAGCAAUCUUGGUAUACGAGAAGAAGAUGUUCGAGGAAAAAUAUCGAUUGGCAAGGUUCCAUGUGUAUUGGUUAAUUAUGAAAUUUCUGUAAAAAUUGAAUGUCGUACUGGCCCUGUUGCGCAUGAGCUCUCUGCUCCUAUAAAAGUUGCAAACGAAGCUGGCUACACAGAGUCUAGUGUCCAGUUUCAUUACAAGAAUAUACAACUUAAUGGACUGCAACCAACACUAGGACCUAGGUCAGGAGGUACUCAAAUUUCCCUUAUGGGAAAGUAUCUCAAUAUCGGGUCACGUAUACGGGCUUUUCUAGAUGAAUAUGAAUGCCAUAUAAAUGUUACUCAAGCAUCCUCCUCCCGCUUAACUUGCAUUACUUCCGAAGCUACUCAACCGGAACCGAUACGAACUUUACAUUUAGUCAUAGAUGGUGCUAAUCGUACAUACACCUGCAAUAAUCCAUUAUUUCCACACACUUUUCAGCAAGAAAAAUUGAACAGCCAACAACAUGUUGUAUCCGCUGAAUUGAAUUACAAUCACCAUUAUCUUACACCCACGCCACGAGUAUGUUCCAUAUUUAACUAUACACAAGAUCCGCGUAUAAUGCAAAUAAAACCCUUACGAAGUUUUAUAAGUGGUGGAAGGGUAAUGACAGUACAUGGCAUACAUCUCGACUCGAUACAGAAGCCGGAAUUAGAAGUACUGAUUGACAGUGAGCGUGUAAAUAAAAGUGCUUGUACUGUUAUAAACUCUAAUCAGAUGGAAUGUCCAUCACCAGCAGUUAAUUUAAAAUUUUUGGAGUACAAAGCUUUUUUAGACCAAAUCUCAACAGCGGUCGCUAACCCAUCUGUUUCACCGCUUACUAAAUAUACUUUUGGUACCAUUAAUAAACGCAGUCCACAAAGUAAAGAUAGCACAUAUGUAUACACAUCGACAAGUAAUACUGCUAGUGGUUACUUUUCUGGAACCGGUGCUAGUUCUGAUGUUGCCGCUUUUGUUAAAAUACGAGAAGCACAAUUAAGUCUUCAAGUAGGCUUUAUUAUGGACAAUGUGCAGUGGGUACGCGAUUUAAACAAAUACUUUCAAAGUAUACGUAGCAUCAUGGUUUACGUGCCUGAUCCGAAGUAUACUCCGUUCCCGGGAGGUACUAAGUUGUAUAAAGGCGAUACCCUUGUAAUAGAAGGCGAAAAAUUAAACAUUGCUGCUGAUGAGUAUGACGUAAAUGUAACAAUUGGUACUAUGCGGUGUAAUAUUACGAGCUUAGCGCUAAACCAAUUAGUUUGUAUUCCUCCAGAAAAUCAGCCAGUUCCAACUGACGAAACUGGAGCGGAGCAGCCAAACUCGUUGCCUUUAGUAGUUGUAAAAGUCGGCCGAAAUCUGCGUUUUGUGAUCGGCCAUUUAAAGUAUGACUUACAUAAAUCAUACACAUAUUCAAAUGCCCUAGUAGCUAUUAUUGUAACAGUUAUCACCGCAUUAGUAGCUUUGUUUGUAGUUCUAAUUAUCUAUAGAAGAAAAUCAACGCAGGCAGAACGUGAAUACAAACGAAUUCAAAUUCAAAUGAUUACAUUGGAAAGCAAUGUGCGUUCAGAAUGUAAACAAGCAUUUGCCGAAUUGCAAACCGAUUUGACUGAUUUGACCGCUGAUUUAGAAAGUACUGGCAUACCUACGCUCGACCAUGUCAAUUACAUAAUGAAAGUGUUCUUUCCUGGAGUUUCCAAUCAUCCAAUUUUGGUAGCACCGAAGCUAAGAAUGAAUAUUCCCCAUAGUCCAUACGAUACAGCCAUGCUUCAAUUCGAACAACUGAUAAGCAACAAAUAUUUUGUAUUGACAUUUAUUGAAACACUGGAAUCUCAGAAAACGUUCACUAUCCGCGACAAAGUUAAUGUUGCUUCGCUGUUAAUGAUCGUUUUGAUGAAUAAAAUGGAAUAUACCACAGAGAUUUUGAAGUGUCUAUUAUUACGUUUAGUAGAUAAGUCAGUAGUGGGAAAGUAUCCGCAGUUAAUGUUACGUCGUACUGAAAGUGUUGUCGAAAAAAUGCUUACCAAUUACAUGGCGAUUUGUAUGUACGACUAUUUAAAGGAAUAUGCUGGUUCAAGUUUGUUCUUAUUGUUUAAAGCCAUCAAACAUCAAAUAGAGAAAGGUCUUGUAGAUGCUAUAACACAUGAGGCACGGUACUCGUUAUCAGAAGAGCGAUUAUUACACGAGCAAAUCCCACAUUCUGUUGUGAUGCUACACAUAGUGCAGGAUGAUCUUGAUGAAAAAGUCCAGUGCAAAGUACUUGAUUGGGAUACCAUUUCACAAGUAAAAUCGAAGGUACUGGAUGCCCUUUUUAAAAAUACACCAUUUUCUUGCCGACCUUCAGUGAAUGAAGUCGAUUUAGAAUGGCGUCAUGGUCGUGGCGGUCACUUAACAUUGCAAGAUGAGGAUUUAACCACCAAGACAAUAAAUGGAUGGAAACGCCUAAACACUCUGGCCCAUUACGGAGUGAAGGAAUCUGCAGUUAUGUCGCUGAUAGCACGUCAAGGGGAUGGUUUUAACACACAUUACAAUAAAAAUCAGCAAUCGUAUAAUAAUUUUUAUUACAUUAAUAAUUCGCAAUCCCAAAUUAUUAUUAACAAUGACAUCGAAAGUGGACCACAGCAACCGCGAGUGUAUCAUUUGGUGAAACCAGUAGGGAAUGAUCAUUUUAUGAAUAUUAAAAAUACUGCCAUUUCCGGUGGCAACGUAACUUCUGCGGCAUGUAGCGCAGUUAGCGACCGCAUAAACAAGACUAUACCUGAAGUUUAUUUAACGAGAUUGUUAGCGGCUAAAGGGACUGUACACAAAUUUGUUGAUGAUUUUUUUGCUACGAUACUAACUGUAAAUGAAGAAUUACCUCCGUCUGUAAAAUGGCUAUUUGAUCUUUUUGACGAAGCCGCACGAAGAUACCAAAUUGUCGACACAGAAAUACUCCAAGCAUGGAAAUCAAACAGUUUACCGUUGCGGUUUUGGGUAAAUUUUAUAAAGAAUCCAGACUUUAUAUUUGAUGUAAAUAAAACAGUAACCUUGGACUCUUGCCUAAGUGUAAUAGCGCAAACUUUUAUGGAUGCGUGUUCAACAACUGAGCAUCGACUUGGGAAAGAUUCUCCUUCUAACAAGUUGUUAUUUGCCAAGGACAUUCCGCAGUAUCGUAAGAUGGUUAGACAAUUUUAUCGCGAUAUCGCUCGUUUGCCUCAAAUAAGUGAUCAAGAAAUUAGUACAGCUAUGCAGCAGUUAUCAGUGCAACAGAGUGAUGAGUUUGACACGUUAGUGGCGUUAAAAGAGCUUUAUAUAUACGUUACAAAAUAUUGGGAUGAGAUCGUUCAUGCUCUAGAUACGGAUCUGAAUUGCAAAAAAAAUAAUUUAUCACAUAAGUUGGAAAAUGUGGCGUUUACGUUAAGUGGAGAGGAAACCUCUGCUUGCUGACAUCUGCAUCAAAAUUAUUUUCCUGAAAAUAAAUUACUAUUUAAAGCAAAUAAUUUAUUAAAUAUGUCACACUACACAAUAAGGGACAGUAUGAAUUUAGAGAAUUUUAGUGAGUGUUCCAGUAUGUUUAGAAAAGCUAUUGCAAGAUGAACAUCUGUCAAAUUGCAGACGAAUAACUCGUGUACAAUAUUUCAACUCCAAUUAACCAGCUCUACCACCAAUUCGCUAUAAAUUUGCUACAUCUUGGCUAUGGCUACUGUGGACUCAUAGUUCUAAUUGUUAUAUUUUCCAGAAAAUUACUUCAGUCAGUUAUGCCAGCGAAUCACCGAAGAUGCCGAUCAUACUAGACUGAAGCAAAUAUAUAUUCUAAUCAGACUGACACUACUUACUAAACAUUAAAGUAUACACGUAACUUUUUUAAGACCAUGAUACAUGAUAAAUUCUACAACAGCAACAAAUAAUGAAUUGUAAAAGUAUAUUUUAUUAUAUUUUUAUAUUUUAUUCAAAGUUUAAUUACUAAGUGCGUCUCAAGGUAUUAAUAUUAAUUUAAAUCGUAGCAGUAAGAAGUUUUAUUAUAAUGGUAAAUGUACAAUAAUGCGUUGCGACCCUCACUUACAUUACGUCUCGGAAAUUCGAACAAUUUUGAAAGCAUUGAAGUAUUAUUUAUGUCAAAAGUCAUAUUGGUACCUCUAAUCACGUUAACUAGACAAACAUUUGAAAUUAUUUUCUUAAAUAUUCAUUUUUGCUUUUUACAAAUAUUAAAUAAACUCGAAUAAUUGCCCAAGAAAUUGCAGAAAUGACA